GACGAACGCUGGCGGCGUGCCUAAUACAUGCAAGUCGAGCGGAUCAUUCCUUCGGGGAUGGUUAGCGGCGGACGGGUGAGUAACACGUAGGCAACCUGCCUGUAAGAUCGGGAUAACUACCGGAAACGGUAGCUAAGACCGGAUGAGUGAUUUUCUCGCAUGAGGAGAUCAAGAAACACGGGGCAACCUGUGGCUUACAGAUGGGCCUGCGGCGCAUUAGCUAGUAGGUGGGGUAACGGCUCACCUAGGCGACGAUGCGUAGCCGACCUGAGAGGGUGAUCGGCCACACUGGGACUGAGACACGGCCCAGACUCCUACGGGAGGCAGCAGUAGGGAAUCUUCCGCAAUGGACGCAAGUCUGACGGAGCAACGCCGCGUGAGUGAUGAAGGUUUUCGGAUCGUAAAGCUCUGUUGCCCUAGACGAACAGCGAGGAGAGUAACUGCUCUUCGUGUGACGGUAUAGGAGAAGAAAGCCCCGGCUAACUACGUGCCAGCAGCCGCCGUAAUAC
rnacentral:rRNA from 1 species